rnacentral:tRNA from 1 species
UUAAAAGUAGUUAAUAUAUAACUUAGAAUUGUCAGUUCUAGAUACCUUUUAUUCAGGCUUUUUAU